rnacentral:rRNA from 1 species
UACAAAAAAAGCUAGCGUUGCUCGGAAUCACUAGACGUAAAGCGCACGUAGGCAGCUUUCUAAGUCAGGGGUGAAAUCCUAAAGCUCAACUCCAGAACUGCCUUUGAUACUAGAGAGCUAGAGUCCAGAAGAGGUAAGUAGAACUGCAAGUGUAGAGGUGAAAUUCGUAGAUAUUCGCAAGAACACCAGUGGCGAAGGCGGCUCACUGGUCCGAUACUGACGCUGAGGUGCGAAAGCAUGGAAAGCAAACAGG